rnacentral:lncRNA from 1 species
GGGCCAGUCUGGGGAGAGGGUGGCUAGCUGUGGCGGCGGCCAAUUACGUGGCGGACCUGCGGGGCUAAGCUGGCACGUCACUUCCGACUAGUGGAGUUUUUAGCCUUUUAACAUUCAAGGAUUAGAGCUCCCUCUUUGCCCACUAGCAGGGCAUUAGCUGGUGCUGAAGACAGUGGCUGCUUGGCGAGCCUGGAUCUCCAAGUGACCCCCUCAGCAACUCCUGAUGAACAGGACUGAAGCCAAUAUUAAAGCAAGUCAACCAAAGGUUCUCUGGUGUAGACAAGACAGCAAAAGGACAGACUACCUUGUGGAACCUAGCAUUGUUCUCCUUCUGCAGCACUAAGUAACAUUUGUUCUCCGUUAAGAUCUUUGCAAACCACACACAAGAAUUGCUGGUCAUCCUGCCAAUAGAUGCUGCUCACAGAACCAAAUUUCCUGUGCUGAAUUGUCACUCAUGGGCUUGAGAGUAGGAGACUGGAGACCAAGGUGGCUAGAAUCCAGUUGGGCCUGAUGUCUCCCUGUUGAAAGGGCUCCUUGUGGAAUGAAUAGCACAUGGCUCCUGUGGUGGAUCUGAUAGUGGCAUAGCACCAAGUGAUGCAGGCCUGCCAGGGGCCACAGACACAGAAGAUGCUCCCGGGGUCCCCCAUGUACUCCAGACACACUGCAGGCCACCUCUCCCAGCAGGUUGCCAGUCAUGGGCCCCAUCAUCAUGACUUCUGUCCAAGGUGUGCUCGGAAAUCUCUUCCUUAACUGUGACUUUCUGACAGGUGGAGGAUGUGGUCAGGAGUGGGAAAAGGAUUCGAGACGGGAAGAGGGAGGGGUUCAGGAUGAAGAGAGAUAAUCUGUGCCACAGAUGCUGGCCCUGCAGUUAGCUCCCACCUAGUCCGUGCACACACAUUCUAAUCCCCUCCCAUUCCUUUACAUGCUGCGGCCAGAGAGGCCUUUCUCAAAGUGGAAGUCUCAUCCUCACUUCUCUGGUUACAGUGCUGGGCCAUGGUAACUUACAAGGCUUAGCAGGAACUGUCUGCGCACUCCCCCUUCCUGCCCACUACCUUGUUUCCCUCCAGUUGCGAGAGAAAACAUUGAUUGAGCAUUAACUAUGUGCCAGGCUUGUCCUAAGUCCUUUGCAUGUAUUCACUCAAACAAUCCUCACAACAUUCCUAUCACAUCUCCCAUUUCACAGUGAGGGUUCUAAAGCACGUAGUGGGUGAGGAACUUGUCCAGGGUCACACAACUAAGUGGGGGUGGAGAAACAUCAAAUCUAGGUGGUCCAGGUGGUGGCCAGAACCCAUCAGCACCUCACUACAGCUGCCUCCAGUUUCUCGCUCUAGGAAAUACUCUUCCCUGUCAACUCCUGUUGUCCUCUGGGCUCAGUUGACAUGUCAUCUCCUUGAGGAGGACAUCCUGAGAUGCUCCCCGACUAGGGUGGGCACCCACUUCCACACUCCAAAUGCCUAUUUGACCUGUGUAUCGCUGCAUCCCCACUGCCUGGCAGAUAGCAGGCCCCUAAUAAAUAUGAUUUGAGCAAAUAAAUAUAGUUCUUCAAAAAAUAGGGAGGACUUCUUGCUUCAGGUAAUGGUAGGCUAGGACAUUUGGACCAACCCUCCUGCAGAAAAUAGCCAUUUAUUUUGAUGCAAUAUAUCUGGCUAUGACUAGAGAUUUCAAAUAUUUGGAGGGCUAUUAUGUGAAGAACUAAACUUACUCUUUGUGACAUAGAGGUCAGAAAUUGGUCGUUUCCAUAGAGUAUGAGAGAGACAGAAUUGUGCUCAUCAUAAGUAUCUUUUUUAAAAGUUAGACUUAAUAAAAUGGGCUGCCUUGGUAGGUGGUGAGUUCUCUGUCACGAAAGAGAUUCAGCCACUUGCUCUGAGAAAGCAUGGAGAAUAUCAACAUUGUAAGGGUCGACCACCUCAUCUCUGAGGCCCCCUCCUCACUUAGGUUGCCAUUGCAGGUGGAACACUGGGCUGAGUGUCAAAGAACCUGGGUUCCACAAGCUGUGCGACCAUGGCUGGUUGUUUUGGAUCUCAUUCCUAAUAUCUGUUAGUUAAGCUGACCCGUCAAUACUGACCCACUUCACAGAGUUAUGAAGGGAUUAAAUUAGGUAUUACAUGUAAAUCUGUUUUGUUUGCUUUUUGUUGUUCUUUUUUGUUUUGCUUUUUUCUUUGCAUUAUGAAAUCCCAAGUCAACUUUUUCCAUUCUUUUAUUUUUUUAAAAAUUGACAUCAUCAUUAUAACCACAAAAUAAUUUUUAAAAUGGAAAAAAAAAACUCACCUGCAACCCCACAAUCUAAUACAAUAAUCAUACUUUUUUCCCUUUAUUCUCCUUUAUUGUGACCAAGGAUGACUUUGGGCAUUGCUGUGAGGAACUAUUUCGUUUAACACCCUACUACCUGAACAUGAUGCGUACUCAGCCUUUCACCACCCCCCAAGUAGCUACACAUGAUGUGAUAAUAGUAUUGGUGGUGGUUUUAGAGAGUUGGAGAGAAAACUGAAGUUGGAUUUGGGUAAAAGAAAAAAGAGUGGGAAUUAUUUUUUCUCCAUUCUAAAGCCCAUAAAGCAAUGUUAAUUGUUCCCACCCCUCUGCUAUUCUGUCUCCUCAGGUACUGUGUGCAGAAAUGUGAUUGAGAUUCAAGUCAGGGCCUCUCUGCCCUUUUCCCUCCAGAAACAAAACCAAGAUAAUUUAUCCUGAACACGGUGAAAAAAGGAAGGGAGGGAGGAGAAAAAGUCCGGGUCUCACCUGGGAUUCUCUGUCUCCUGCAACAUGAAGGAUUUAGCCUGGGAGGAGGUGGUGAGAACUCUGGGAGAGAAAAAAGAAGGAAAGAAUAGUUUUACCCAUGCUGAAGUUAAUUUAAACCUUCACCUAGAGAAGCAAAAAAAAAAAACCCACACUUUCCCAUUUUGUGCCUCCCUUCCUAGAGUUUUAGCCAAAGGUUUAGCUAAGUAAUUGGUUUUACCAGCGCACUCACUCCUCCUAUCCCAAGUCUGUUUGACUCCCUCCCCAUCAUCCUCCUCACCUCUUUUCAGGCAGGGUGGGGAUAGCAGCAGGAGGAGAUUUUGGGAGCCUGGCAACUCCUGCAAGGACCGCAGGACAGCCCCUCUGUGGGGAUGCGUGGUGCCCCAUCUGCCGCCCUUCUGAAGAAUGCACUGCCUUCACUUUUUACUGUGUUAGAGUCCAUCCAGACUGUUCUAUCCAAAAAAGUUUCUUUUUCCCCCACAGGCAAUCAGGAAAUGAUUCCUUUCCCGACUGCUUCUGUCUAGUGCCUGGGAAUCUUGAGUCAAUCCCUCAGUAAGUCAGUGACUAGGGAAAUCCCUCUCUGAGCCUCCCAGUUCAUGUUGCUUAGGGAACCUGAUAUUUUCGUGAAACCUGCCUACACAUGGGCAGCCCAACAGCAGAACAAAUGGUGGUGACCAAAGUGAACAAAGAAGUAUAGUUGUGCCAGCUUCGUAGUUGCCCAUGUGGACAAGUCAGCAGGAUCAGGACACGAGGAAGAGUAAAUGUGAGACAGUCAAUGUGACUUCUGCGAUAAACAGAUUUUUAAACCCCGAAAUUUUGCAAAAUUUUGGUGAAACCUGAACUUUCUUCGUUGCAUAUACUGGCACUAUCUGUACCAUCAUACAACUGUCUCACAUUAAAGCUAUUUUUCUUGGGCACUGAUGAGUAAGGUUGGUAUAAGUUCCUCAGAUCAACAAAAACCCAUUUUCCUGUAAGUCUUACAUUUAGUAUUUAAGGAACUAAAACUUAAAUACAUUUUGUGAAAUGGUUGACACUUCACUGAUAAUGAUUUAUUGCUUGGAUUAAUAAAUUUUCCAAAAGUUGUCUUAUGUAGAAUAUGGUUUGCAACCAGCAGAACCAUUAAUCUAUACUGCAAUGAUAUGCACUAUGUAUAAUUGUUUAAAAGCCUCUACUUAAUGAUGUAAAAUGCUCUAUUUAAUUACACAUUUGGGUAAACUGUAUACUAACAUCUGAUGGCAUUUUUCCACUGUUUGUUGCUUUUUUCAAAUACUUUAUUGUACAAAGCUGUUCUUAAUAUUUUUCAAGUUUUUUUCUUUGAAUUUUGCUAAUGUUUUCCUUGAAUUAUGAGCACUGACAGAAUGUGCUUAGCACUUUUGGCUAUUCACACAGCUUUUGAGCAUGAUUUGCAUCCAAUAUUUACAUUGCUAGCAAUAAUAAGCCAUCUGUGAGUUUUGUCAAAAGUUAUUGGGGAUUUUUUAAAUUUUAGAAAUGCAAAUUAUUGUUUCUUUGAACUAACUCUUAUGCAGUUGCAAAGGCAUUUCCAGUUGUUAUAGUUUGUGUACAAUAUCAGGUGUUCCAGAUUAUGAUUCAUUAUUAAUAUCAUUGCUUCCUUGUUCCCUCUGAGGUCCAGAAGAUUCAUGUUUACAAUAUUUAGAAACAAUGUUAAAAAGGUAUCCAAAGUUUGUCACUUUAUUAUUAGUUUGUUCUUAAUAUUCUGUUUAAGUUUUUGAAUUCAUAGAUAUCAAAACGCUGCACAAUUAUGAUUUCCACAGGAAUAACAACACACUAACAAUAAGAACCAAAAACAGCAAAUAGGCUGCCUACAAGUUUUGACAAUAUUAGGAUAAUGAUAAUGACAGUUUUUCUAAAUCUCACAGUAAAGAAUGCAGCAACCCAGCAACACUGCUACCUGUGGCCUCAGGCUGCAGUGUCAGCUCUUCCCUGGGUCUCCAGCCUGCCAGUCUAACCUGAAAAUUAUGUACUUGCCAGCCCCCACAGUCACGUGAGUGAACUGGCCCAGGCUGGUCACCAGGGUCAGUUUCUCUGUGUGUCAUUAAUUCAUUCAGUCUUCAGCAGUCUCUUUGGAGCUGAGAUGUACCUACCAUCUGCCUUUUGGGUGCUUAGGGUGGAGAACCAGAAAAGUAUAACCUAGUGUGUAUCCUCAAAGAGCUAACAAUAUGGGGUGGUACCUAUAGGUCUGGAAACACUUUACUGACUCUGUGAGGCAUACCAGGAGACGUCAGAGAACAGUCCCUCCUCAAAUGCCAAAUGAGAUGCAGAAGAAAUAGUUUGCUCAAGUUCAUGGGCCAGAUAUCCCAGUGGUCAGGGAGUUUCAUGAAUGAGAUGGAACUUUGCAUGGAACCCGAGGGAUGUGUAUGAUUUGAGUAGAUGAAGAAAAUGAGACUUUCCAAGCAGCUAGAAGUUAGGGAGCAGCAAGAUGUGUGGUGGGAUUGAGCACAGUUGGUUCAGAGGAUAGACUGCAGUUUUAAUAAUUUGUAGUAAAUAUCUCCCAACUGUUUGGCACUAUUGGAGCAAGUUCUUGAAUGCCAAAUGAAGGCAUAAAUCAGUAAGAGGCAUAAUAAAAGGCUGAGCAGUGCUUGGCUUUUUACGAACUGAUCCUGAUAGGAGCAGCUGUUCAACAAAGUUGCCAGGUCACCGUUACAUAGUCCCUGCCUUCUAGGGGCUCACUGCCUACUGGGAGAGACAGUCUGAAAGUUGGUGGAGCAUGUAACUGUUGGAUGAGGAGUUUGAGCCUGUGGACUGUGGGACCCCCGAGGAGGGUGUGGCUACUCUAGGCAGAACAAUCCCACAGUUUAUUUAUAUUUAACCUUGAAAUUCAUUAGAGGAUUUUUCAGCAGAGGUUUGGUACUUGUUAAUGUUAAGGUUUGCAUUCUCUAGAACCUCAAGGAAAGCUGUACCGUGCAUAAUGUACCCUCUUAUGUUAAUGUUGUGUACUGUGAUCCUGUUUCAGGGACUUGCACUUAGGAAUCUGUUACAGUGAGCACAGAAGCAGACCUGUGGGCUCAUAGUCUUCACCCCCCACCCAUAUAUACAAGAUGAACAGAGUGGAGGUUAAACAACUUGACUAAACAACACAGUUCAUGGUAAAGCCCAAGACUGUACCUGCCCAUCCACUGCCUUUUCCAUGUAUCCUGGAACUGAGCAUAGACCUCUUCCCAGGCAGAGCUGACAGCAAGUAAAGGAGAUCAUAAUCAGGGGACCAAACAACUUUGUCUAAAGUGUGAAUGUCACCUAAGGAGAAGCUGUGAGAUCAGAAGGGUGGGGCAGAGGAGCAGACACCAUGAGGGAGAGUCCUUGGGGGUACAUCUGCCAGACUGACACUGUCUGGCCUGGGCAGUGGAGGGGCUAGCAGGAACCACAGGUACUGGUGGUGUGGCUACUACCGUUACAACUGCCUGUGCUUGGACAUGGACCCUCUGCAAUAUGCGGCAGUUUCAUUCAUUGCCCCCUACAUUCUACACCAAGUAGAAAUGGAAGGCAAUUGGAUACUUCACAGACAAGAUCUAAGUGGAGAAGGAAUGCGUCCUGUGGCUGCAGAGAUCCUUGGAGCUUGGAGGGGAGAGCUUGAGCCCCACUGAUGAUGACCUCCCACAGCUCGCCAACUCAGCCCUCCCUAAGUCCCCAUCGGGGGCCAAUUCUCACUCUGGGGUUGGGGGGACUCCACCAUAGCUCAUCCAUCAUAGGGAUGUUGGUAUCUACUGUGGGUUGGGUAGGGCCGAUGUGCUGAGGAUGGCUCCCCCACAAGCAAGAGAUGUGGAUUUGGGGAGCUUCCCAUCUUGUGUUGAAGGAACAUAACUCAGAAUAAUAAGAGCCAACUAUAACAAACCCACAGCCAACAUCAUACUGAAUGGGCAAAAGCUGCAGGCAUUCCCCUUGAAAAGUGGCACAGGAUAAGGAAGCCCUUUCUCACCACUCCUAUUCAAUAUAGUGUUGAAAGUCCUGAUCACAGCAGUCAGGCAACAGAAAUAAUAAAGGGCAUCCAAAUAGGAAGAGAGGAAGUCAAACUAUCCUUGUUUGCAGACAGUAUGAUUCUAUAUCUAGAAAACCCCAUAGCCUCAGCCCAAAAGGUCCUUCAUCUGAUAAUUUCAGCAAAGUUUCAGGAGACAAAAUCAGUGUACAAAAAUCACUAACAUUCCUAUACACAGUCGCCAAGCCAAGAGCCAAAUCAGGAGCACAAUCCCAUUCAUAAUUGCCACAAAAAAGAAUAAAAUACCCAGGAAUGCAGCUAACCAAGGAAGUAAAGGAUCUCUACAAUGAGAAUCACAAACGCUGCUCAAAGAAAUCAGAGAUGACACAAACAAAUGGAAAAACUUUCCAUGCUCAUGGCUAGGAAGAAUCAAUAUCAUUAAAGUGGCCAUACUACCCAAAGCAAUUUAUAGAUUCAAUGCUAUUCCUAUCAAACUAUCAAUUACAUUUUUCACAGAACUAGAAAAAACUUAAAAUUCAUAUGGAACCAAAAAGCCUGAGUAGUCAAGGCAAUCCUAAACAAAAAGAACAAAGGUGGAGGCAUCACAUUACCUAACUUCAAACUACAGGGCUACCAUGACCAAAACAGCAUGGUACUGGUACAAAAGCAGACACACAGACCAGUGGGACAGAAUAGAGAGCCCAAAAAUAAGGCCACAAACCUACAGCCAUCUGAUCUUCAACAAAGUUGACAAAAACAAGCAAUGGGGAAAGGUCUCCCUAUUCAAUAAAUGGUGCUGGGAUAACUGGCUGGCCAUAUGCAGAAGAUCGUAACUGGACCCCUUUUACUAUGUACAAAAAUUAAGAUGGUUUAAAGAGUUAAAACCCAAAAUUAUAAAAAUCCUGAAGAUAACUUAGGCAAUACCAUUCUGGACAUAGGAACUGGCAAAUAUUUCAUGAUGAAGACACCAAAAGCAAUUGUAACAAAAGCAAAAAUGGACAAAUUGGAUUUAAGAGCUUUUUCAUAGCAAAAUAAACAACAGGGCAGACAAUCUACCAAAUGACAGAAAAUUUUUGCAAACUAUGCAUCUGACAAGGGGCUAAUAUCUAGCAUCUAUAAGGAAUUUAAACACAGUUACAGGAAAAAAAAAACCCACUCCAUUAAAAAAUGGGCAAAGGACAUGAACAGACACUUUUCAAAAAAGACAUACAUACAGCCAACUAGCGUGUUAAAGAAAACCUCAAUUAUCACUGAUCAUUAGAGAAAUGCAAAAUCAAAACCAUGAUGAGAUAUCAUCUGCCAGUCAGGAUGGCUACAAAAAAGUAAAAAAAUAAUAGAUGUUGGUGAGGUUAUGGAGAAAAGGAACUUAUACACUUGUUAGGAGUGUAAAUUAGUUCAAUCACUGUGGACAGCAGUGUGGUGAUUCCUCAGAGAGCUAAAAACAACUACCAUUUGACUCACCAAUCCCAUUACUGGAUAUUUACCUAAAGGAAUAUAAAUCAUUCCACCAUAAAGACACAUGCAAGUGUAUGUUCAUUGCAGCACUAUUAACAGUAACAAAGCUGGGCACAGUGGCUCACCUCACGACUGUAAUCCCAGCACUUUGGGAGGCUGAGGUAGGCGGAUGAGGUUGCAGUGAGCCGAGAUCACACCAUUGCACUCUAGCCUGGUGAAGGAGCAAGACUCCAUCUCAAAAAAAAAAAAAAAAAAGAAAGAAAGAAAAAUACACAUUCAGAGGAGACAAAAAAUAAAAAACAAUGAUGCAUGCCCACAGGAUCUAGAAAAUAACUUCUUAAGGGCAAAUCUAGGAGUUAUUGGCCUUAAAGAAGAGAUAGAGAAAGAGAUAGGAAUAGAAAGUUUGUUGAAAGGGAUAAUAACAUAGAACUUCCUAAACCUACAGAAAGAUAUUUAUAUCCAAGUACAAGAAGGUUAUAGAACACCAGGCCAAUUUAACCCAAAGAUUACCUCAAGGCAUUUAAUAAUCAAACUCCCACAGGACAAGGGUAAAGAAAGGAUCCUAAAAGCAGCAAGAGAAAAGAAACAGAUAACAUACAAUGGAGCUCCAAUACAUCUGGCAGUAUAUUUUUCAGUGGAAACCUUACAAGCCAGGAGAGAGUGACAUGACAUAUGUUAAAGUGCUGAAGGGAAAAAACCUUUUACCCUAGAAUAGUAUAUCCAGCAAAAAUAUCCUUCAAACAUGAAGAAUAAACAAAGACUUCCCCAGACAAACAAAAGCUGAGGGAUUUCAUCAACACUAGACUGGUCCCAUAAGAAACGCUUAAGGGAGUACUUUGGUCAGAAAGAAACAGACAUUAAUGAGCAACAAAGAAUCAUCUAAAGGUAAAAAACUCACUGUUAAGAGUAAGUACACAGAAAAACCCAAAGUGUGAUAACAUUGUAACUGUGGUGUGUAAGUAGAAAGAAUAAAUGAUAAACCAAUCAAAAAUAGUAACUACAACUUUUCAAGACCAGUCAGAAAAAUAAGAUAAAAUUAGAAACAACAAAAAGUUAAAAAGUGGGGGGAUGAAGUUAAGAUGUAGAGUUUUUAUUAGUUUUUUGUUUGUUAAUGCAAACAGUGUUACCAGGUUAAAAUAAUGGGUUACAAAAUAGUAUUUGUAAUCCUUAUGGUAACCUCAAACCUAAAAACAUACACUGGAUACAUAAAAAAUAAAAAGCAAAAACCUAAAUCAUAUCACCAGAGCAAACUACCUUCCCUAAAGGAAGACAGGAAGAAAAGAAAGAAGAAGACCACAAAACAACCAGAAAACAAAUAAAUAACAAGGCAGGAGUAAGUCUUUACUUAUCGAUAAUACAUUGAAUGGAAAUAUGGACUAAACUCUCCAAUCAAAAGACAUAGACUGGCUGAAUGAAUGGAGAAAACAAGACCCAUUGAUCUGUUGCCUACAAGAAACACACUUAAACUAUAAAGACACACAUAGGCUGAAAGUAAAGAGUUGGAAAGAGUUAUUCCAUGCCAAUGGAAACCAGGAAAAAGAGAAGGAGUAUUGAUUUUGAUACAAAAACUAUGAGACAAAUAAAGUCACUAUACAAUGAUAAAGGGGUUAAUAUGGUUUCCAUUUGUGCCCCACCCAAAUUUCGUGUUCUAUUGUAAUCCUCAAUGUUGGAGGUGGGGCCUGGUGGGACGUGAUUAGAUCAUGGGGGUGGAUCUUUCAUGACUAAUUCAGCACCAUCUUCUUAGUGCUGUUCUCAUGAUAGUGAGUUCUUCUGAAAUCUGGUUGCUUAAAAGUGUGUAGCACCUCUCCACACCACCCGCUUGCCUUGGUCUACUCCUGCUAUGUAGAUGCUUGCUCCCACUUUGCAUUAUUCCAUGAGUAAAAGCUCCCUCAGGCCUUCCCAGAAUCAGAUGCCGCUAUGCUUCCUGAACAGCCUGUGGAACUAUGAGCCAAUUCAACCUCUUUUCUUCAUAAAUUAACAAGUCUUGGGUAUUUCUUUAUAGCAGUGUGAGAACAGAAUAAUACAGAAAAUUGGUAAAGAGGAGUGAGGCAUUGCUAGAAAGAUACCUGAAAAUGUGGAAACAGCAGUGGAACUGGGAAAUAGACAGAGGUUGGAAGAGUGUGGAGGGCUCCGAAGAUAGGAAGAUGAGGGGAAGUUUGGAAUUUCUUAGAGAUUUGUUAAAUUGUUUUGACCAAAAUACUGAUGGUGAUAUGGACAAUGAAGUCCAGGCUGAGGAGGUCUCAGAUGGAGAUGAGGGACUUAUUGGGACCUGGAGUGAAGGUCACUUUUGUUAGGACAUUGUGGUUGGAGACAUUGUGCCCCUGCCCUAGGAAUCUGUGGAACUUUGAACUUGAGAGCGAAGAUUUAGGGUAUCUGGCAGAAGAAAUUUCUAAGCAGCAAAGCGUUCAAGACGUGGCCUGGCUGCUUCUGGUAGUCUGUGCUCAUAUUUGUGAGCAAAGACAUGACAAGAAACUGGAACUUAUAUUUAAAAAGGAAGCAGAGUGUAAAAGUUUGGAGAAUUUGCAGCCUGGCCAUGUUGUAGAAAAGAAAAAAACCAUUUUCUGGAGAGGAAUUCAAGCUAGCUGCAGAAAAUUGCAAGUAACAAGGAGCAAAAUGUUGAUAGCCAAGAUAGUGGGAAAAACACCUUGAAGGCAUUUCAGAUACCUUGGGGGCAGCCUCUCCCAUCACAGGCCCAAAGGCCUAGGAGGGAAGGAUGGUUUCCUGGGCCAGGCUCAGGGUCCUGCUGCCCUGCACAACCUCAGGAAACUGCUCUCCAAAUCCCAGCUGCUCCAGCUCCAGCUUCAGCUCAAAGGGCCCCAGGUAUAGCUCAGGCUGCUGCUCCAUAGGAUGCAAGUUAUAAGCCUUAGUGGCUCCCGUGUGGUGUUAAAUUAAGCCUGUAGGUGCACAGAGUGCAAGAAUUGAGGCUUGGGAGCCUCCAACUAGAUUUCAGAGUAUGUGUGGGAAAGCCUGGAUGUCCAGGCAGAAGCCAGCUGCAGGGACAGAGCCCUCAUGGAGAACCUCUACUAGGGUAGUGUGGAGGGGAAAUUUGGGGUUGGAGUUCCCACACAGCUUCCCCUCUGGUGUACUGCCUAGUGGAGCUGUGAGAAGACAGCCACUGUCCUCCAGAUUCCAGGAUGAUAGAUCUGCCAAUGACAGCUUGCACUGUACAACUGGAAAAGCCACAGGCAGUCAAUGCCAGCCCGUGAAAGCAGUGACAGUGGCUUACCCUGCAAAGUCCCAGGGGCUGAGCUGCCCAAGGCCUUGGGAGCCCACCCCUUGCACCAGUGUGCCCUGGAUGUGAGAUAUGGAGUCAAAGGAGAGUAUUUUGGAGCUUUAAGAUUUAAUGACUACCUGCUGGGUUUCAGACUUGCAUGGGUCCAGUAGCCCCUUUCUUUUGGCCAAUUUCUCACUUUUGGAAUGGGAGUGUUUACCCAAUUCCUGUACCCCCACUGUAUGUUGGAAGUAACUAACUGUUUUUUUAUUUUGUAAGCUCACAGGUGGGAGAGACUUGCCUUGUCUCAGGUUGAGACUCUGGACUUUGGACUUUUGAAUUAAUGCUGGAAUGAGUUAAGACUUUGAGGGACUGUUGGGAAGAUAUAACUGUAUUUUGCAGUAUGAGAAGGACAUGAGAUUUGGGAGACACCAGAGGUGGAAUAAUAUGAUUUGGAUCUGCAUCCCCACCAAAAUCUCAUGUUCAAUUGUAAUCCUAAAUUUUGGAGGUUGAGCCUGGUGGAAGAGGAUUGGAUAAUGGGGGUGGUUUCUCAUGGUUUAACACCAUCCCCCUGGGUGCUGUUCUCAUGACAGUGAGUGAGUUAUUGUGAGAUCUGAUUGUUUAAAAGUGUGUGCCACCUCCUCCCACUUUCCUCCUGCUCCAGCCAUGUAAGACAGGCUUGCCUCCCCUUCACCUUUUGUCAUGAUUGUAAGUGUUCUGAGGCCUCCCCAGCCAUGCUUCCUGUACAGCCUGCAGAACUGUGAGCCAAUUAAACCUCUUUUCUCUAUAUAUUACCCAGUCUCGGGUAUUUCUUUAUAGCAGUGCAAGAAUAGACUAAUACAGGGUUCAAUUCAGCAAGAGGAUAUAACAAAUAUAAAUAUAUAUGCACUCAACACUGCAGCACCCAGAUAUAUAAAGCAAAUACGAUUAGAGCUAAAGAGAGAGAGUGACCCCAAUACAAUAAUAGCUGGAGACUUCAACACCACAUUUUCAGCACUGGACAGAUCUUCCAGACAGAAAAUAAAAAAGAAACAUCAGACUUAAUCUGCACUGUAGAUCAAAUGGAUCUAAUACAUACUUGCAGAACAUUUUAUCCAAUGGCUGCAGAAUACACAUUCUUUUUUAGCACAUGUAUCAUUCUCAAGGAUAGACCAUAUGUUAGGUCACAAGUCUUAAAACAUUAAAAAAGUUGAAUACCAUCAAGCAUCUUCUCUGACCACAGUGGAAUACAACUAGAAACUAAUAACAAGAGGAAUUUUUGAAACUACAAAUACAUGAAAAUUAAACAAUAUGCUCCUGAAUGACCAUUGAGUCAAUGAAGAAAUUAAGAAGGAAAUUGAACAAUUUCUUGAAACAAAUGAUAAAGGAAACACAACAUACCAAAACCUAUGGGAUACGGCAAAAGCAGUACUAAGAGGCAAAUUGAUAGCUAUAAGUGCCUACAUGAAAAAAGAGGAAAAACUUCAAAUAAGCAAUUUAACAAUGAACCUUAACCAGAAAAGCAAGAGCAAAACAAACACAAAAUUAGAAGAAAACAAAUAAUAAAAAUUAGAGCAUAAAUAAAUAAAAUUGAAAUAAAAAUCAAUGCAAAAGAACAAUGAAACAAAAAGUUGCUUUUUUUCAAAAGUUAAACAAAACUGACAAGCCUUUAGCAAGACUGAGAAAAAAGAGACAAGAUACAAAUCAGAAAUGAAAAAGACAUUACAACUGACACUGCAGAAAUUCAAAGGAUCAUUAGGGGCUACUAUGAGCAACUCUAUGCCAAUAAAUUGGAAAAUCUAGAAGAAAUUGACAAUUCCUAGACACAUACAACCUACUGAGACUGGACCAGGAAGAAAUCCAAAACCUGAACAGACUAAUAACAAGUAACAAGGUUGAAGCCAUAAUAAAAAGUCUCCCACUAAAGAAAACCAAGGACCCGAUGGCUUCACUGUUGAAUUCUACCAAACAUUUAAAGAAGAACUAAUACCAAUCCCACUCAAGCUAUUGAAAAAUAGAGGAGGAGAGAAUAUUUCCAAAGUCAUUCUAGGAGACCAGUAUCACCCUGAUACCAAAACCAGACAAAGACACAUCAAAAAAAGAAAACUGCUGGCCAAUUUCUCUGAUGAAUAUUGAUGCCAGAAUCCUCAGCAAAAUAUUAGCAAACUAAAUUCAACAAUACAUUAAAAAGAUCAUUCAUCAGGGUCGGGUGCAGUGGCUUAAGCCUCUAAUCCCAGCACUUUGGGAGGCCGAGGUGGGCAGAUCACCUGAGGUCAGGAGUUCAAGACCAGCCUGACCAACAUGGUGAAACCUCGUCUCUACUGAAAAUACAAAAUUAGCCGAGUGUGGUGGUGCAUGCCUGUAAUCCCAGCUACUCAGGAGACUGAGGCAGGAGAAUCACUUGAACCCAGGAGGUGGAGGUUGCAGUGAGCUGAGAUUGUGGCACUGCACUCCAGCCUUGGUGACAGAGUGAGACUCCAUUAAAAAAAAAAUCAUUUAUCAUGACCAAGUGGGAUUUAUCCCUGGAAUGCAAGGAUGGUUCAACACAUGCAAAUCAAUCAAUGUAAUACAUCAUAUCAAAAAGAAUGAUUAAAACCAUAUGAUUAUUUCUAUUGAUGCUGAAAAAGUAGUUUAUAAAAUCCAACAUCCCUUCAUGAUAAAAACCCUCAAAAAACUGUAUAAAAGAAAUAUACCUCAACGUAAUAGCCAGAUAUGACAGACCCACAGCUAGUAUCAUACUGAAUGGGGAAAAAGUGAAAGACUUUCCUAUAAGAUCUGGAACACAACAGGGAUGUUCACUGUCACCACUGUUAUUCAACAAAGUACUGGAUGUUCUAGCUAGAGCGAUCAGACAAGAGAAGAUAUAAAGGCCAUCCAAACUGGAAAGGGAGAAGUUAAAUUACCCUAGUUUGCAGAUGAUAUGAACUUAUAUUUGGAAAAAACCUAAAGGCUCCACAGGAAAACUAUUAGAAUCAAUAAAUUCAGUAAAGUUGCAGGACACAAAAUCAACAUAUAAAAACCAGUAGCAUUUCUAUAUGUCAACAGUGAACAAUUUGAAAAAUUUUAAAUUUAAGAAGGUAAUUUCAUUUACAAUAGCCACACAUAAAAUUAAAUACCUAGGAAUUAACCAAAAAUGUGCAAGAUAUCUAUGAGGAGAAUUAUAAAACAUUGAUGAAAGAAAUUGAAGAGGACACAAAAAAAAUGGAAAAAAUUCCAUCUUUAUGGAUUGGAAGAAUCAAUAUUGUUAAAAUGUCCAUACUACCCAAAGCAAUCUACAGAUUUAAUGCAAUCCCUAUCAAAAUACCAAUAAUAGUCUUCAGAGAAAUAGAAAAAAAAAUCCCAAAAUUUAUAUGAAAACACAGAAUGCCCAGAAUAGCCAAAAUUAUAUUAAGCAAAAAGAUCAAAACUGGAGGAAUCACAUUACCUGACUUCAAAUUAUGCUACAGAGCUAUAAUCACCAAAACAGCAUGGUACUGACAUAAAAACAGACACAUAGUCCAACAGAACAGAAUAGAGAACCUAGAAACAAAUCCACACACUCACAGGGAACUCAUUUUUGACAGAGUUGCCAAGUACUUAUACUGGAGAAAAGAAAAGACAGUCUCUUCAAUGAAAUGGUGCUGGGAAAACUGGAUAUCCAUAUGCAGAAGAAUGAAACUAGACCCCUACCUCUCACUGUAGACAAAAGUCAAAUCAAGGCUAGGCAUGGUGGCUUACACCUGUAAUCUCAGCACUUUGGGAGGCUGAGGCAGGCGUAUCACGAGGUGAAGAGAUUGAGACCAUCCUGACCAACAUGGUGAAACUCACCCCCCCCCACCCACUAAAAAUACAAAAAUUAGCUGGGCGUGAUGGCAUGUGCCUGCAGUCCUAGCUACUCAGGAGGCUGGGGCAGGAGAAUCGCUUGAACCCAGGAGGUGGAGGUUGCAGUGAGCUGAGAUUGUGCCACUGCACUCCAGCCUGGCGACAGAGCAAGACUCCAUCUCAAAAAAUAAAAAAUAAAUUCAAAAUGUAAUAAAGACUUAAAUCUAAGACCUCAAACAUGAAACUACUAUAAGAAAACAUUGGGGAAAACCUCCAGGACAGUAGUCUGGCCAAAAAUUUCUUGAGCAAUACCCCACAAGCACAGGCAACCAAAAUAAAACUGGACAAAUAGUAUCACAUCAAGUUUAAAAGCUUCUACAAAGCAAAGGAUACAAUCAAUAAAGAGACAACCCACAGAAUGGGAGAAAAUAUUUGCAAACUACCCAUCUGACAAAGAAAUAAUAACCAGAGUAUAUAAGAAGCUCAAACAACUCUAUAGUAAAAAAAAAAAAAAAAAAAAUUCUAAAAGUCUAAGUAAAAAAAUGGGCAAAAGAUUUGAAUAGACAUUUCUCAAAAGAAGACAUACAGGCCAUGCGUGGUGGCUCAUGCCUGUAAUCCCAGCACUUUGGGAGGCCCAGGCGGGUGGAUCACUUGAGGUCAGGAGUUCGAGACCAGCCUGACCAACAUUGUGAAACUCCGUCUCUACUAAAAAUACAAAAAUAAGCCAGGCAUGGUGGCGCACACCUGUAAUCCCAGCUACUCAGGAGGCUGAGGCAGGAGAAUCGCUUAAACCUGGGAGACAGAGGUUGCAGUAAGCCGAGAUCACACCACUGCACUCCAGCCUGGGCAACAAAGUGAGACUCCGUCUCACAAAAAAAAAAAAAAAAAAAAAAAAAAAAGAAAAGAAAAAGGAAGAAGACAUACAAAGCCAGGUACAGUGGCUUAUGCCUCUAAUCCUAGCACUUUAGGAGGCCAAGGCAGAUGGAAUUGAGCCCAGAAGUUUGAGACCAGACUGAGCAAUAUGGUCAAACCCCAAUUCUGCAAAAUACAAAAAUAAAAAAUAGCUGGGAGUGGUGGUGCACACCUGUAGUCCCAGCUACUUAGGAAGCUGAGAUGGGAGGAUCACUUGAGCCUGCAGUGAAUCAUAAUUGCACCAAUGCACUCCAGCCUGGGCGACAGAGUGAGAGACAUUGUCUCAAAAAAAAGAAAAAGAAAAAAAAGAAAGGACAUAAAAAUGACAAACAGGCAUAUGAAAAGGUGCUGAUGAUUAUUGAUCCUCAGAGAAAUGCAAAUCAAAACUGCAAUGAGAUAUAAUCUCACCCCAGUUAAAAUGGCUUAUAUCCAAAAGACAGGCAAUAACAAAUGCUGGUGAGGAUGUGGAUAAAAGGGAACCCUCGUACACUGUUGAUGGGAAUGUAAAUUAGUACAACCACUAUGGAUAACAGUUUAGAGGUUCCUCAGAAAACUAAAAAUUGAGUUGCGAUAUGAUGCAACAAUCCUACUGCUGGGUAUAUACCCCACAAAAGACAAAACCAGCGUUUUGCAUGGUGGCUCACACCUGUAAUCCCAGCACUAUGGGAGGCCGAGGAGGGCAGAUCACUUGAGCCCAGAAGUUCAAGACCAGCCCGAGCAACAUGGCAAAACCUGAUUUCUACAAAAUACAAAAAAAAAAUUAGGCAGUUGUAGUGGUUCACACCUAUAGUCCUAGCUACUGUGGAGGCUGAGGUAGGAUCACUUGAACCUAGGAGGUGGAGGUUGCAGUGAGCCAAGAUCAUGCCACUGCACUCCAGCCUGGGUGACAAAGUGUGACCCUGUCUCAAAAAAGAAAAUCAGUAUAUGGAAGAGGUAUCUGCACUCCUAUGUUUUUUACAACACUGUUUACAAUAGCUAAGAUUUGGAAGCAACCUAAAUGUCUAACAGCAGAUGAAUGGAUAAGGAAAAUUUGGUAUGUAUACACAAUGAAGUACUAUUCAGCCAUAAAAAGGAAUGAGAUCCAGUCAUUUGCAACAGCAUGGAUGGAAGUGGAGAUCAUUAUGUUAAAUGAAAUAAGCCAGGCACAGAAAGGCAAACAUGGCAUGUUCUCACUUAUUUGUGGGACCUAAAUUCAAAACAAUUGAACUAAUGGACAUAAAGAGUAGAAGAAUGGUUACCAGAGGCUAGGAAUGGUAGUGGGGGGCUGAAGGGAAGGUGGGGAUGUUUAAUCGGUAAAAAAAAAUUUAGAAGAAUAAGACCUACUAUUUGAUAGCACAAUAGGGGGACUAUAGUCAAUAAUGCACAUUUAAAAAUAGUGUAAUUGAAUGGUUUGUAACUCAAAGGAUAAAUGCUUGAGGGAAUGGAUACCCCAUUCUCCAUGAUGUGCUUAUUUCACAUUGCAUACCUGUAUCAAAACAUCUCAUGUACCCCAUAAAUAUAUGCAGCUAUUAUGUACCCACAAAAAUUGAAAAUCAAAAAUAAAAUAUUUUUUAAAAUGUAUUAUUAUUUGUCCUCUGUGAAUAAAACUCGCUUCUGGCCCUCCUUUUUAUAGGUAUUUAAAAGAAUGCAUUUAGGCAGAUCAAUGGCAUUAUAUAAUAUACAAAAACAAUAAAUCUUUUUUUUUUAAACAUAUCACAUUCAGCACAGCUGCUGAAGUUGGGGCUAAUUAUAGGUUACAUUUUCAUUAAUCCACUGUCAUCUGUUAUCAUCCAUCCAAUUUUUGCUAGAACUGGAGUGGUAAAUUCAAUAGUUGAUGAUGAAACCACAACCCCUGCAUCUUUUAUGUCUUUGAGUGACAGUUUAUUUCAUUGCCCCUCAAAUACUACAUUGUUUUAAAAUUUCUAUCUUGGUCGAUAUUAGAAGCUCUCUUAGGGGCAUCCACUUGGCCUUUCUUACUACAAAUCCUUUAUUCCACAGGUGAAAUGACUAAAGUGUGAGUGAAAUAACUAAUGUACAAAAUAAAUCCAUCAAUUACAUAUUUGGAAACCAGAAAAAUAACCACCAAGCAGAUGUGUGGACACAGAGAAUCCACGGAGAUACGGGUGGACCUGAGACAGGAAAUUAUUUUCAGUUCCCUGUGUGGCUCUCCUCUAAUAGAAGUCCAUGAGGGUGCUUUGGUUCCCCAGGUAUCAGUGUGAAAUUGGACCCUGUAUCCAAUAGACCUGAAAAUAUCUGGACAUUCCCCUUUAUCAGUGUCUUGAUACCUGAGUAAAUGGCCAUUGAUCCCUUUAGGGAAGGGUGUAGAAAGUGUCUACUGUACACACUUAUGGUGUUGCAGAUACUUCAUCAGGGGACGUGACUCUCCUUCAAUGAAUGGAUUCUGGAUCUAAGCACUGGCUCAGGUCUGGAAACUGGGCAAGGGAUUUUAAACUUCUAUUGGAGAAAUUAAUCUCAGACUUCAGCUCAUCUAUUUUUCAUCUAUUGAUUCUAAUAUUAAACAACAGUCUUAUAGGCUGCCCAACUAGAAACACCAUAGUCUUAAUAAUUUCCCUAAAUCCCUUGCAGUCAGGAUUUCCUGGCUUCCAUUCUAACAUUACUCACUAUUUUGGGGAUUUUGUCCAUUUUGAUUCUGCCUUGCUGCCAGCUGGCCUCUAGCUUUCUGGAAUCCUACUGUCCUAUUGUUGCUAGGGCACCAAGUUCUCCAAUAUCAUCUCAUAGAGUCAGCUCCAGCCCACAAAGGACAAAAUUAGGUUAAUACCCCGUUCACCUGCCCAUGACUUGCUGCCUGAUAAACAGAGUUUCCUUUGGGCCCUUCCAAAUAAACAGUCACCCAGUGCAUGAUCCAGUUUUAUAGAGUGUAUCUAUCUAUGCCAGCAUGCUCACUGCUCUGAGCCUUUUGGUCUCUUUCUCCACAAUCUGCCAUGGCAGCUCUGGCACAUCGAUUUUAUUUCAUGUGAGCCAUCAUUUUUCAUUAGAACAGUUUCAUUAAGAUAAAAUUCAUAUAUUAUUCAACCAUUUAAACUCAAUGGUUUUUAGCAUAUUUAUAGUGCAACCAUCACCACAAUCAAUUGUAGAACAUGUUCAUCACUCCAAAACUAUUUUUAGAACAUUUUCAUCACCCAUGUAUAUUUAUUCUCAGGCAGUCAUCCCCAUUUUUCCCUCCAACAUUUCCUCAGUCCUAGGCAACCACUAAUCUACUUUCUCUCUACAAAUUUAUUUCUUAUAGACAUUUCAUAUAAAUGAAAUAAUAUAAUGGAUGGUCUUUUGUGACUGGCGUCUUUCACAUAGCAUAAUGUUUUCAAGGUUCAUCCACAUUGCAGCAUUUAUUAGUACUGCAUUUCUUUUUAUGGCCAAAUAUUCCGUUCCAUAGAUUGACCAUAUCUUAUUCAUUCAUUUGUUCCUGGGCAUCUGUAUUGUUUCCACUCUUCAGCCAUUGAGAAUAAUGCUGCUUGACCAUUAUGUACAAAUUUUUGCAUGGACAUGUUUUCAUUUCUCUUGGGUAUAUACCUGGGAAUGGAAUUGCUGGGUCAAAUACUCAUUCUACAUUCAAACUUUGAGGAACUGCCAAGCUAUUCUUUAAGAGGCUGCACCAUUUUACAUUCUUACCAGCAGUGUGCAAGAAUUCCAAUUUCUCCACAUCCUCACCACUGCUUAUUGAUAUCUGUCUUAUUUAUUCUAGCUAUUCCAGUGACCGUGCAGGGGUAUAUCACUGUGCUUUUAAUUUGCAUUUCCCUGAUGAUUAAUAGUGCCAAGCAUCUUUUCAUAUUCUUAUUAGCCAUCUUUCUAUCUCCUGUGGAGAAGUAUCUAUUCAGCCCUUUGUUCAUUUUUUACUUGUAUUAUUUGUCUUUUAAUUUUUGACUUGUAAGAGUUUGUGUGUUCUAUAUACUAAUUCUUUCUCACAUAUAAGAUUUAUAUAUACUUUCUCCUAGCCUGAGGGUGGUAUUUUUACUUUUUUGAUUGUAUUCUUUGGAACACAGAGUUUUAAACUUUGUUGAGAUAGAAUUUAUCUGUUUGGUUUAUUGUUACUUGUGUUUUGGUGUCAUAUUUAAAAAACACUGCUUAAUCCGAGGUCAUGAAGGUUUUUGCAUACAUUUUUGUUUGUAAGUUUUAUAGUUUUAGCACUAACAUUUAGGUCUUUGGUCCAUGUUAAGUCAUUUAUGUAUAUGAUAUGAGGUAGGGUCAAACUUCAUUCUUUUGCAGGUGGAUAUACAGUUACAUCAGCACAAUUUUUUUUAACCAUUGGCCAUUUCAUAUUUAAAAAACAUUUAAUUGACAAAGUUGUGCAUGGCAUACAUCAUGAUAAUUUAAUACACAUAUACAUUGUAUGAUUAUUAUUGCAACCAAAUUAACAAAUCCAUUACUGCCCAUACUGAACAUUAGAUUUCUAGAACUUGUUCAUUAUAUAACUGAGAAUUUGCACCCUUUGACCAACAUCUCCCCAUUUCUCCCACUCAAGCCCCUGGUAACCACCGUUCUACCUCUGUUUCUAGGAGUUUCACUUGUUUUAGAUUGCAAAUAUGAGGUUAUAUAAUAUUUGUCUUUCUGUGUCUGGCUUAUUUCAUUUAAUAUAAUAUCCUCCAGGUUCAUCCAUGUUGUUGCAAAUGUCAGUACUUCCUUUUUCUGUGGCUAUUAUUCCAUUUUGUGUGUGUGUGUAUACAUACACACCAUAUUGCUAUGGUUUGAAUUUUUGUCCCCUCCAAAACCCAUGUUGUUUCAACCCAUUUAUAUUUCAACAUGGGUUGAA